rnacentral:lncRNA from 1 species
UGUAUGACUACAUUAAAUUUAUUUAUAUGGAAAAUAGCAUAAAUUUGUAAAACAAGUGUAAGAUCAUAGGACAAUAUUUGCAAUAUAUAUCUCAGAGGAUUAGUAUCAAUAAUAUGCAAAUUAUUACUAUAAAUCAUAAAAAAUAAAACAACCAAAUUCAAAAGUGGGCAAAACUCACAAGAAGCAAUUCACAGAAAUUGCUUCAUAGAAUAGGCAGUACAAAUGAUCAGUAACAGAUUAAAAGAUGAACAAGCAAUAACACAAGUUCAAAUUUAAAAAAAGAUAAUACACACCAUUGCUUUUAACCCAUCAGAGUAGUAGAAAGUUACAAAAUCUGAAAGCAGCGCUGUUGAUAUGGUUGGAGAGGUAUAGGAUCUCUCCUACACUGCUGUUGACAGUGUAAUUGGUAGUUUGGUAAAAUUAUUAACCACAAAAACAUGCAUAGUCCAUGACUUUGAAAUUUGAUUUCUCAUUAUUUGUAAGAAUAAUAAGUACAAACUCAAACAUGCAUGCACAGGAGUUUCAAAUCACCUUUGUAAUAACUUAAAAUGGAAAAAAUGUAAAUGUCCAUUAAUAGUGGAAGAACUAGAAAACUUUGGUGUAUCCACACUAUAGAAUACUAUGUAGCAGUUAAAAAGAAUGAUACACAAUUGGAUAAAUUUGUAUACAUAGCUCCUCAGGACACAUUGCUUAGUUCGAAAAAACAUGUUGUAUGAACCAUGUAUGGAAAACACACAAUAAAAAAAUAAAUAAAACACACCAAACACUAGUAUCUCUUCACAUAUUUCCUAUGUUUUAAUUUGAGGGACAGAAUAAAAAAUUUAAAAUGAGUUGCCAGAAAAAGCAUCACUGAGAAGGUAAUAUUUGUAUAGAAACUUCUAGAAAAUGAGGAAGUGAGCCAUAAAGCUAUUUGGGAGAAGAGGAUUCCAGGCAGAGGGUGAAAGGCCCUGAGAUGGGAGCUUGCCUGACAACUUCAAGAAAGAAUGAAGAAGCUACUCUGGUUGGGAGUGGAAUGAGAGUGCGGUAUAUAAGGUCACAGAAUAACAUGGCAGGGAAGGGAUAUAUAUCAUGUAGGCCCUCGAUUAACAUAGAAAGGACUUUGGCUUUUACUCUGAGGAAGAGUAGAAACCAUUACAUGAUGUUGAGCUCAAGAGUGACAUCAUCUGACCUAAUUUUUAACAUAAAUCCUGUAGACUACUCUCUUAAGAAUAAGUUAAAGAGGAGAAAGAUAAGCACUGGAGUGAUAGUUAUAUUAUUGCAGAAUGCUGGCCUAGGACUGAUGGUGGUUAAUCAUGAGAGUGGAGAGGGUGAAGCAACUAUAAUUUGAAGGCUGAGUCUAUAGGUUUUGCUAACACAGGGGAUGUGGGAUGUGAAAUAAAGUAAAAUAUCAAGGAUGACACCAAGAUUUUAGAUCUGAGCAAAUAAAAGUAUAGAAUUAUCAUUAAUCGAAAUGAAAAAAACUGGGAAAGGAACAGCUUUGUAUAGGAGUUACAAGGUCAAUGUUAUACAUGUUAAAUUUGAAAUGUCAGUUUAUGUAUCACAUAUAAAUGUUAAGAUUUCAGGCUAGAGAUAUACAUUUGGGAGUCAUCAGAAUAAAAAUGACAUUUCAUGCCAUGCUCCUGGAUGAGGAUUCAGGUUUUGCUGACAAUGGGGUAAGUAUAGAUGUAACAGAGGUCCAAGGAUCAAGUCAGAGGGCAAUCCAACAUGUAGAGGUCAGGUUGAUGACCUAGAAAAAGAUAACCUAGGAAAAGAUGAUGAGCUGAACAGCUAGAAAGGAAGAAGGGAAAAACGGAUGUGUGUGAUGUCCUAGAAGUUAAGUGGGGAAAAAAGCAUUUCAGGAAUGAGAGUGACUCACUCUGUAAAGAGCUACUGAUAGAGCAAAUAGUAUGAAUAUCAAGAACUUGCCAUUGGAUUUAUCAAUGGAGCUUUUUAGUGACCUUGAUGCAAGAAGUUUGCAGUGGUUGAAACAUGGAGGGUUCCAGAGAGAUUGAAAGAAGAAAAGUUGGAGACAGCAGUGUUAAAAAGGAAAAGAAACCAAGGAAUUUUGCUGUAGUGGGAAGGAAGAAAAUGUGGUGGUAGUUGAAGGGCAGGAGGCUUGAACUGGAGUUCUGAAGAGAUUAUGUUUACCAGUAGUAACAAAUUCUAUGGCCAUUAUCUUGUGACUAAGGUAUGAUGGAAGACAAGAUCAUUGGAUAAAAGAAAGGUAAGAAACUAAUAGCUAAAUAUUUGAACAGUCAUCAAAAUGGAUAUUGGAAUCAGCUAUCAGCUAUAAUUAUAAAAGGAGUAGUAUAUCAGAAAAUGUCAGUGAAUCAGGAGCUCACAUAUUCGUAAAAUAACAGAUGUGAGCUUAAAGAGCUAUGGAUGGCUGCAAUAAGGAAUAGUGGGUAUUACAUCCUACUGGCAUGAGAUUCAAAUGUUGGGGUACUUAAAGAGAGAAGGAGAAUGUUUUUGGAAGCAGCAAUGAAGAGCAACCCCACUUGUAGAUAAGAGGAGUAUAGGAAUAUAGGAAGAAAACAGGCACCACUUAUGAGGUUGUCAUGGGAAGCAGAUUUUUGGGAAGAAUUCCGAGUUUCAGUUUGAGUAAGAAGAAGGAAAUUUUUUGAGCAAAGUUUGAGAAUAUAGGAAAUUUUGCUGAUAAUUGACCUCGAGGUGUGCUGGAUAAGACAAAAUGAUUUCAGUAGGUAGGAAAAAGUAAAGUUGAUUUUGCUAUCAACCCCCCAAAAUUCAUUCUCCUCCUCUUCUUUUCUCUGCUGUAUUCCCCAGGAAUCUGACUUCUAUGGACCACAUCACCUGGCUUCCUUAUUGGUCAACAUUUGUUUGAGUUUGGACAAGAGGUGGCACUGUUAGGAGACUGGAUGGUGGGAGGAAAGAGAGGAUAGGGAUAUCCAUUCUUUUCCUUCUCACUUUCUCCUUGCUUCAGGCCAUUGUUCUCACAAUGUCUGCUCCUCAACAUCAAUAUAGCUCCUGAUGAUCCUCCUUCACUGCUCCAGCUUUCACUGACCUCCUUAAACACUCUUUCUCCCAUUGUCCUUAUGAUAAUCAUUUCUUUUUGUUGUUUAUCUCUAGGUACAUCAAAUAUCUGUUGGUUGCCUUAGCUCUAACUCAGACCUCUGUAAAUUGCCUCUUCAUUAAAUCUCUUCAGUUGAACCAUCAGAGUGGCAUUCUGUUUUGUGGUAAGACUGACUAAUUCAGGGCGUGGUAUAGGGUGAGAACAGAGCUGUUUACAGCUUCCAAUUAUCAGGUGACCAGAGAUUCCUAUGGUGUCUUCCAAGAACAAGAUAAAGGGUAUGGAGAGAUCAUUGUUGACUUUCCCAAGACAGAAAAAUUUCUGAUUUCUAUGGGGAAUAAGAAGCGGGGAAUUCUUGCCAGGAGCAUGCAGAAUUCUAAGUCUCUAAUUGACUCCUGCUGAUGGAGACAUACAAUCCUGUAGGGGAUAGUCUUAAUAGAAGUGUGUGGGUUCUUUAUUGACUUGCUGAUUGACAUUCAGAAGGUGAUAAAUUUAAAUAGUAUAUAGCCUAAGACCAGAAAAAUAAAAUGCAUGAAAACAGAAGGCAAAUAUUAAGCCACUGAAUGAAUGGACUUUAAGGGGUUUAAUGUGUAUUAAUUACACACAUAUGAAUGGGGACAAAUGACUUUGAGUCUGGAGAUAAACAUAGAGCUUCACUGGAGAAAAAGUAUAGUUAUGUAACAUUUUGGUGCAAUAACGCUUUCUAAAAGCUUUUCUAAGUAUCGUGAAAUGUAAAGUCCUAAUCUGAACCUCUAUUUUCAAGUAAUAUUUGAAAUAGCAAAAUUCUGAACACAGAGGUAUUCAAAAAUUAAUUUAAACCCUGCCAUAGUGGUAUUUGAGUUAGAGAUCAGGAAGCAUACACAUAGAAGUUACAAAUGCAAACUAGAGAAGAUGAGGGCAGGGUCCUGACUCUAGCCUGUCUAUCUGUUUCAACUCAUGGCCUAGGGGUAACGUAUUCUUUGGGACCAGUUCCUAGUCUGGGAAGGAAUUUUAACGUAAUAAGACUAAUUUCCACUUGAAAUGUAUGAAAAUUAGUCCUUUUUCUUUAAUAAUUACGAAGUCAAAUGUAUUACUUGCAGUUUGUGUGUAAGGAUUGUUAUUCCGAUCUAGUUUCCAGAUUCUGCCUAUUCAGCCAGAGUUUCCAUUUUUACCUUUGCUACAAGACAAUGUGCCUGAGUUCCAGCUCAUUGGUCCUUAUUCUCUUAGCCUAAUGGCUUUAGGUUCUGCUACUCCAUCUCUUAGAUCCUGGAUUUAAUGACCCUAAACUGUUUCUUCACGACUCUUGUAACAUUUUUUAUUUGUCCUCUGAUCCUCCUAGUGUACAGUACUUCUCAGAAACACUAUAACUGUCUCCUCUUUUCUCUUUCUACGUAUUUAACCCAACCCAUAUCCUUUAGCUCUCUUGGUGAGUGGAGAGCUCUGCUGUCUUACUAGUCAAGUCUCCACAUAAUAAGAAGCAAUAACAUUUUCUACAACUUUCAAAGAUACACUGAUAUCUCGGAACUGGAUACACACAGAAUUUAGUUUUCCUAAAUAAUGUUAUUUAAUCUAAUAAAUUUAAAUUGAUUAUGGAUAUAUUGACCACCAUAAAGAACAAAGAAGAGUUUCAUGUGGAUAAUUGCUGGAGUGGAAUUAGCUACAGGAACAAUGCAGCUGAUAUUGACAUUGAUUAUUUGUAUAACUGAAUAAAAUCUUAUUCCAGUCAUCCUUUAUGCUUUUAGGAACACACAUAUAUGUGUUUGAGAGCAGACGUGUAUGCCAGAGGUUCCUUCCUAAAGGUAUUUCACACUGUGUUACAAGUUAUGCCUGGAAGAGUCUCAUAUAAUUUUGAUUGGAAAUCAUAUUGAGUUCCUUCAAAGUGGGUAAACAGUGAGUACAAGGGGAAAAUGCAAUACUAAGUAAAGAAUAGGCAAAGUUGAUAUAAGACAAAUCAGAACUUUUGGAGGAGAAAAUCACUCUUCCUAAACUGAAUGUGGAGAAAUAACUCCUGAAUUUUAUUUCCACCAUACACAACAAUCCGAAUUGAAGUGAAUCUAUUUCUACCCUGUGACUUUUCUUUGUUCUCCCUUCCACUCACCUUUUCCUGCCCCUUCCAAAAGUCCCCUACAUAUCUGAGGAGUUUUGCAGAAGUAAUCAAAAGCAAUAAUUCUGGAAAACAAAUCCAAUUCCUUUCUACAAAGAAGAAGGGGUACACAUAUAAAUGCCCACAUGCGUAUCUACCCAUAAAUUUUCCUCAGCAGGUUUUCUCAGAAGGCAAACAUUUAUCAGUAAGCAUAUCCAUUGUUACCAACUAGCCUAGAUCUACUGCUAACUCUAAGCUAUUCCCAUUUACCGUGUUCACUGUAAAUAGCUGCUCAUAUUCAGAACAGCACACUGAAUCUUUAGUCUUCAUCAUUCUAUCAGUUUUAUUCUUUCCUGGGGCAUUCAUAGUUUCUUUUUUUUUU